rnacentral:tRNA from 1 species
GUGGAUAUAGUUCAAUUGGUAGAUCGACUGUUUGUGGUACAGUAUGUUCCCUGUUCGAGCCAGGGUAUUCACCCAUAGCCC